ACGAACAAGCAGUUCCCAUUUUAUCUCUACUACUAAUAAAACGGUAGUGUCAGCGUCUUCCAACCCGGGCGAGCGAUCCAUCCCCCUCGCGCUCGCCUCCCCUCCUCCCCGCUCUCCGCCGCCAUCGCCCCUUUCUCUCCCGCCGCUCCCUGUCGCCGUCGCCCCGCUCCCCCCCCCCCGGGGGUCGCCGCGCUCGACCGGGUCUUCGGCUGCCGGACGCUACGCGUGCGGUCCCAGAGCCUGCGGAGCCUCACGGUGUCGGUCUCCCUGACGCGGCGGCGCGGCCCCAGGAUGCCGAGGAGCUGGAGCACCUCGUCGAGGACGCGCCCGCCCUGGAGAGGCUGCUCUCGCACGACAUCAACUGGGGCCCAUGGAUAAAUGUAGUGCAUGCGCCGAGGCUGCAGAUGUUCAGCUACUUGGGGGUCGGGAUCCCUGGAACUGCAGCUUGGCUCCACGUUGCUUCGCUCAAUGCCGCUGUUAGACUGUCAGCAGAGUUCGGGUGCGUGAGGACGCUUGCUCUGGAAAUGGCGGAGCCGCAGGUGAAGCCUGUGGCGCACUUCCUCCGGUGCUUCCCCUGCUUGGAGAUGCUGUGUCACGUCUCACAUGGUUGUUCCCCAGAGCAUGGAAAUAUUGAAUUAUGAGAUGGAUAUUCAGACAGAGUGCCUCAACUAUCGUCUCAAGACAGUGGUGCUGAAAGGUUACAGAGGGAGAAAGAAUGAGCUCCAGCUAGCCAUGUUUCUUGUUCGUAGUGCAAGAGUUCUACGGGUUAUGAAAUUCUUGUGUGAGAAUGACUGCAACCCUUCAUGGUUGACAAACCAAAAAAGGCGAUUACUGUUGGACAACAGGGCAUCAUUAGGGGCUCAAUUUGUUUUUCAGAAGUUCACCAAGAGCUGCAUCAGGUUUCUAAAGCAAGCAAGUGACAUGUACGUGCUUGCUUUAGAAACAAGUGACAUGUACUUGCUUGCUUUAGAAACCUGAUGUGGCUUAUUUAGAAACCAGUGACAUAUGAUUGUUGGUAUGCAUAUAAGUGAAUAAGGCUUGCCUGUUAAUAAGCAGUACGGAUGAAAAUUUUUUAUAGUUGCAUUGUUAAUUGCAACUAUAGAUUGAGAUAGUAGAUAAGUCAGGCCAUAAAGUAGUUUCUGCAUACCAUGAUGCUCGGAGCUGCAUCCGCAAUGACCUGGCUUCUGCUGGCAAUGCUGAGAAUAUAGGAGAUGACUUGAAUGGUCCUGACAAGGCUGUUAGUGCUGUUUUAGGAUUGAGGACUAUAGAAUGCAACCAGUUACUUGUUAGCAUUGCUAAAAGUAAAUUUACAGAGCAUCGAGAUGAGAAAAAUGAGAGAAUCACAAAGCCAGAGAAGAACCUGUUCGGCUAUAUGAUCUGCUUAUUCAGGUAUGCUUGCUUUCUAUCAUGCCCCUUUUGAGAUGUUCUCACGUUUUUUUACUGGACUUGUGUGCUUUUGCUGGUGAGAAACUGCCUUUUGCAGAAUACAACGGACUUGAUAGAUUUUGUUAGCUCUGGCAGAAAUAAAAAUAAAGAAAAGAACUCUUUUAUUCAUGAGUAUGAGCUGAAAGGCUUGGCUUUCAGAGCUGCGAGAUGUUUCUUUUUGGCGAAGUCAUAUAGUUCUGCUGGCAAAGGGCCGAAGCAUAUGCAUUAUUCUGUCAUGCCCGAACUCUCAAUGAUUUCAGACUGCAGCAGCUUGCGAACAGUCCUGACAAGGUUUUGACACUGAACCGACAGCAUGAGCUCCAGCUAGCCAUGUUUCUUGUUCGUAGUGCAAGAGUUCUACGGGUUAUGAAAUUCUUGUGUGAGAAUGACUGCAACCCUUCAUGGUUGACAAACCAAUACUGUUGGACAAUAGGGUAUCAUUAGGGGCUCAAUUUGUUUUUCAGAAGUUCACCAAGAGCUGCAUCAGGUUUCUAAAGCAAGCAAGUGACAUGUACUUGCUUGCUUUAGAAACCUCUGAUGUACUUGCUUGCUUUAGAAAUCUGAUGUAGCUUAUGUCGCUUGCUUUAGAAACCUCUGAUGUACUUGCUUGCUUUAGAAAUCUGAUGUAGCUUAUUUAGAAACCAGUGACAUAUGAUUGUUGGUAUGCAUAUAAAUGAAUAAGGCUUGCCUGUUAAUAAGCAGUACGGAUG